rnacentral:lncRNA from 1 species
CUUAGCCCAAGUGGCAAGCGUGGUCAUCUCGUGCGUUCUCGUGGGAGGUCUUGGGUUCGAUUCAUGGAUGCCUCAAUUGUUUCACCGAUUUCGUCAUAAACCGAUAGGUUCAUCUCGGUUUUCUUUGUCUGGCGUGCCACGCAUCGCUCUUGUUUGACUAAGGACUGUUACUGUGAUUCGGACGCCAUAUGGGCCAGGGGAUGGGGGGGGCGAGUGAGAUGAUCCGGCGGCGACCGUACCCUAACCCCGCGCGGCCGCGGCGGAGCGAAUGUUGACGAGGCGGCACGGUGGUGUUCCAUCGAGGCGUGGCGUCUCGGUGCCUGCAAAUGGAAGAAACACUGACACCUGAGCCGCGACGCCGAGCGCCGCUACCAGGCCUAGGCCUACCUAGCGGAAGAAGCUCGGUUGGCAGCAGCAGAGGCGGGGAGUUCCAGUGGCGCACGCACGCUGCGCCGUGAGGAGCACGAGUCCUUUCACGCCGCCGAGAACGUGUGGACUCGGCGGCGAAGGAGGAGGAAGAGGCACAUCAGCAAAACGUCUAAGAUACUUGCAUUGGGAGAAGCCUUAUAUCACGCUGGUGCCUCUGACUAUGACCGGGCAAUUGGAGAAAUUUGACUGCUGUAUUUUACAAGUUACAACUACUCUAUUUAUCUUUUUUCUAAGGCAAUCAAGG